rnacentral:ribozyme from 1 species
AAAAGUCACAGACCACUGAGCACUGCUGCUUCCAGUUCACCACUGGGACCCUC